UACGAAGGGGGCUAGCGUUGCUCGGAAUCACUGGGCGUAAGGCGCACGUAGGCGGAUUUCUAAGUCAGGGGUGAAAUCCUGGAGCUCAACUCCAGAACUGCCUUUGAUACUGGGAAUCUCGAGUCCGGGAGAGGUGAGUGGAACUGCGAGUGUAGAGGUGAAAUUCGUAGAUAUUCGCAAGAACACCAGUGGCGAAGGCGGCUCACUGGCCCGGUACUGACGCUGAGGUGCGAAAGCGUGGGGAGCAAACAGGAUUAGAUACCCCAGUAGU
rnacentral:rRNA from 1 species